AAGAGCUGUGUGAAUCGAGAGGUUCAUGCACAGUUCUGUGAGGGGCUAGUGGGAAAGUUCCACCGGUCUACUCGAC
rnacentral:ncRNA from 1 species